rnacentral:rRNA from 1 species
UACGGAGGGUGCAAGCGUUAAUCGGAAUUACUGGGCGUAAAGCGUGCGUAGACGGCUAUCUAAGUCGGGUGUGAAAGCCCCGGGCUCAACCUGGGAAUUGCAUUCGAGACUGAAUAGCUAGGGUACGGUAGAGGGAAGCGGAAUUUCCGGUGUAGCGGUGAAAUGCGUAGAUAUCGGAAGGAACAUCAGUGGCGAAAGCGGCUUCCUGGACCAGUACCGACGUUCAGGCACGAAAGCGUGGGGAGCAAACAGG